rnacentral:rRNA from 1 species
CUUACACUGAGAAGUCACCCGUGCAAAUCGGGUCGUCCUGACGCCCAACAGCUAGCUCACUCACCUAGUUUAACACAAACAUAUUAAUAACCCCUAAAGCAGUUAAUAAUUAAAAUAAAUCAUUCUUCCCCCUUAGUAUGGGCGACAGAAAAGGACCUAGACGCGAUAGAAAAAGUACCGCAAGGGAACGCUGAAAGAGAAGUGAAACAACCCAGUAAAGCCAAAAAAAGCAGAGCUUACCCCUCGUACCUUUUGCAUCAUGUUUUAGCUAGAGACCCUCGAGCAAAAAGAAUUUUAGUUCGACAACCCGAAACUAGGUGAGCUACUCCGAGACAGCCUAAUAAUAGGGCCUAUCCGUCUCUGUGGCAAAAGAGUGGAGAGAGCUCUGAGUAGAGGUGAUAAGCCUACCGAACCUAGUUAUAGCUGGUUACCUGAAAAUUGGAUAGAAGUUCAGCCUCAUGGAUUCUUGCCUCGCCUCUGGCCCCUGCCUAAGUGAGACACAAAGAAAUCAAGAGAGUUAUUCAAAGGGGGUACAGCCCCUUUGAAAAAAGAUACAACUUUUACAGGCGGAUAAGAAUCAAAUAUAAGAAAGGUACUAUAUUUUGGUGGGCCUAAAAGCAGCCACCCCAUUAGAAAGCGUUAAAGCUCAAAUAUUAAAUUUAAACCUAAAAUACCGACAAUUAAUUCAACUCCCCUUGUCUUAUCAGGUUAUCCUAUUUGUCUAUAGGAGAAAUCAUGCUAGUAUGAGUAACUAGAGAGCACAGACUCUCUCCUUGCAUAAGUGUACCCCGGAACGGACCCCCCGCCGGGCAUUAACGAUCCCCAAAAAAGAGGGCACUGGCCUAAAAAAAGAUAACAAGAGAACCCCCCAGAAACAACCGUUAACCCCACACUGGUGCGCCUAUAUGGAAAGACUAAAAAAGAAAGAAGGAACUCGGCAAAUUUUAAUACAAGCCUCGCCUGUUUACCAAAAACAUCGCCUCUUGUCCAAGUAAAAUAAGAGGUCCCGCCUGCCCUGUGACCUGCGGGUUUAACGGCCGCGGUACUCUGACCGUGCGAAGGUA